CGAAAUGCGAUAAGUAAUGUGAAUUGCAGAAUUCAGUGAAUCAUCGAAUCUUUGAACGCACCUUGCGCUCCUUGGUAUUCCUUGGAGCAUGCCUGUUUGAGUAUCAUGAAAUCUUCAAAGUAAAUCUUUUGUUAACUCAAUUGGUUUCUACUUUGGUAUUGGAGGUCUUUGCAGCUUCACACCUGCUCCUCUUUGUUCAUUAGCUGGAUCUCAGUGUUAUGCUUGGCUCCACUCGGCGUGAUAAGUUAUCUAUCGCUGAGGACACUGUAAAAGGUGGCCAAGGUAAAUGCAGAUGAACCGCUUCUAAUAGUCCAUUGACUUGGACAAUACUUUUAUGAUCUGAUCUCAAAUCAGGUAGGACUACCCGCUGAACUUAAGC
rnacentral:misc_RNA from 1 species